GAGGGUUUAAGUCCUGUCGCUGCUAACGAUGGUUGGAAUUGUGGUCAAUUCAACCCUCU
rnacentral:tRNA from 1 species